ACUUCAACCACCACAUCUACUCACACCAAACCUCACUUCAACCACCACAUCUACUCACAACUCUUUCAUUGUUCCUACUCAUCUCAUUUCAUAGAUUUUUAGAAAGAAAAUAAGUUCGCUCAAUUAUGUCUAAACUUGAAGAGGUUUCAAAAGAGUCCAGAGCAAGAAGAUGAGAGAGAAGAUUAAGAACGAAGGAGACGUGCCCAACCAAUAGUUCAAGUACCGGCUUCUCGCAGGCCGGCGCUGGCUCAGGCGUCCUCCAUCUCGGCACUAUCGCUGAUGAGGCUACUCUCAUCUGUGAGAUGUUGUUGAAACUGACGCUGACCGCUCCGCCACCGUCGUCGUCGAUGGCCAUCCGAUAUCCGGCGAGACCCGGCUAUGGAAGCUCGGUGAGAAGGUCCAAGUCAGGCCUAACCACUUCAUAGUGGAGAUUGCAUCGAGAGAUCUGCACCACUACGAUUUCUUAUAGAAUAUAUGGUCGAUUUGGAAUGGCUCGAUUUCAGUACGGUCUACAUCAUGGGCACCGAUGAACGACUGAGUUGGAGACAACUUUGUAACCACGUUAAGGUCACCCCUACUUGGGAACAUGUCUUAAAUGAAGUUCGCUGCGUGGUGAUUGUACCUUCCUGAUGGAUAGUGUAAUCUGUCGAAUUUUACAGAGGAGUUCUAAAUUUCUCUUCUCAAGCACAAUAUCAAGCCAUGAAUGCUUAUCUUGAUUGAUUGCAACUCAUCCUUUUUUAUAGACAGAAACAUCAGCUUGGCUCUUUAGAAAACACUUCUUGUAUCUACUUGCCAUUUGUAUUCUUUACCAUUGAAUAUUUUCAUGCCAUCUCA